CAGCAGCCGCGGUAAUACGUAGGGCGCAAGCGUUGUCCGGAAUUAUUGGGCGUAAAGAGCUCGUAGGCGGUCUGUCGCGUCUGGUGUGGAAUCCCGAGGCUCAACCUCGGGCUUGCAUCGGGUACGGGCAGACUAGAGUGCGGUAGGGGAGACUGGAAUUCCUGGUGUAGCGGUGGAAUGCGCAGAUAUCAGGAGGAACACCGAUGGCGAAGGCAGGUCUCUGGGCCGCAACUGACGCUGAGGAGCGAAAGCAUGGGGAGCGAACAGGAUUAGAUACCCGUGUAGUCCCUGUCUCUUAUAC
rnacentral:rRNA from 1 species